rnacentral:rRNA from 1 species
UACGUAGGGGGCAAGCGUUGUCCGGAUUUAUUGGGCGUAAAGAGCGUGUAGGCGGCCAGUUAGGUCCGUUGUGAAAACUCGAGGCUCAACCUCGAGACGCCGAUGGAAACCAACUGGCUAGAGUCCGGAAGAGGAGAGUGGAAUUCCUGGUGUAGCGGUGAAAUGCGCAGAUAUCAGGAAGAACACCCGUGGCUAAGGCGGCUCUCUAGUACGGUACUGACGCUGAGACGCGAAAGCGUGGGGAGCGAACGGG